rnacentral:lncRNA from 1 species
UGGGUUGUUAUGGAUCAUUUGAUUCUUCUGCACUCAAGAUAAUUCAACUAAGGGUACAUUCCACUUCCAUCCCCGUUUUGCACAUCUUUUCUUCUUCGUGUCGGUGUUUAUGGAUCGGAUAUGACAUAAAAAAUACAUGCAGUUUAUAUCUGUGAUGUACUAGGAAAAUAUAAUGCAUGAAAAAUGGAUUUGGAACCUGUUGUAGCUUAGUUUUUUUAACAAAACCUUGUUUCUCACACUUAACUAACUUUAAGCUAGGAAAAACCUGUCUCCA